rnacentral:lncRNA from 1 species
UUUACACAGGAGCAAAAAGGGAUUCUUGAUCAAAACCCUAAAUCACAAGAAAUUCAGCCAAAUCAAGGGAAAUGAAGCUAGGAAAUUGGGGCUUUAACUAAAAUCAUGAUCACCCAGCUUAGGGGAUCACAAGUUGACUCUAAACAAGCUAGGUGGGAGCUUGGAAAGGAACGGGUCAAACGGAUCAUGGAUGCGAAGAAUGUUUGCGCGGACGCGAGGUAAGUAAAGCUUACACCUAUUUUUUUAGCAUACGUAUUUAUUCUAUAGGUGAUAAAUACAUCAAUAGAUCAUGUUUGAAUUAUGGGUUCCGACACGAAACGAAAUGGGUCGGAACGAAUAAAAACGUUUAAAACCAUGAUUUGUAAUAAAUAUAAUUGUUUGGUCGUAUAGACCAAAUGGGUCAAAUGAUGGUGAUAACAUCAUAUGACCAUAUCGACUAAUGUUGGUUGUUAAGUCAUAUGUUUACAGGAACGAAUAGAAUUUUGGAUAAUUGCGUCAUCAUAGAAUAUUGAAUUAAUAAUAGCAAGGCAUAAACGGGUCUAUACGUUGACUCGAGCCAGGUACAUUUUGGAUGCCGGAAGACGAU